GGAAAAACAUGCAUGUGCCAUAACAACGCAAACAUACGGUGCACGUUGAGCAUGAUGGUGGCUCGUUUGCCCAUGGGGACCGCCGGGUUGCUGGCCACGCAAGCAGCACCUCCUGGUAGGACGCCCAAGUUGGGGGGGAGAGAAAGAAG